rnacentral:rRNA from 1 species
AUUGAACGCUGGCGGCAUGCUUUACACAUGCAAGUCGAACGGCAGCGGGGGCUUCGGCCCGCCGGCGAGUGGCGAACGGGUGAGUAAUGCAUCGGAACGUGCCCAGUCGUGGGGGAUAACACAUCGAAAGAUGUGCUAAUACCGCAUACGUCCUGAGGGAGAAAGCGGGGGAUCUUCGGACCUCGCGCGAUUGGAGCGGCCGAUGUCGGAUUAGCUAGUUGGUGGGGUAAAAGCCCACCAAGGCAACGAUCCGUAGCGGGUCUGAGAGGAUGAUCCGCCACACUGGGACUGAGACACGGCCCAGACUCCUACGGGAGGCAGCAGUGGGGAAUUUUGGACAAUGGGGGCAACCCUGAUCCAGCCAUGCCGCGUGAGUGAAGAAGG